UAAGUACCAUUGCCGAACACGCGCGCUUGACCAUCAAAUGUGACAUCUCAAUUAAUGAGGGAGAUCAAAUGGCCCUUGUUUUUUUCUAUUUUCUUUUUAAUUUCUGAUUUUUCAUUUAAUCCUUUUAUUUUGUUUAAUUCAUAUUAAUUUCUUUUUUAAUCCAAAAAAUACGGGACUUUCACCAAAAAUCUUUAAAUAUUUUCCUCUUCCAUAUUUUGAAUUAAAAUCAAUUUUUG
rnacentral:lncRNA from 1 species